GAGUCGGAACUGAGUCAACCCGAAUUACACGAAUUGGCACUUGGGUUGGAGGUAUCAGGGUUGCCAUUCUUUUGGGUUCUAAGGAAACGGGAUAACUCGGUCGAGGUACCCAAUAGAUUCAAAGAACGAGUCGAGGGACGUGGCAUGGUGUGGACGAGUUGGGUACCUCAACUCAGAAUCUUGGGUCAUGAAUCAGUAGGAGGAUUUGUGACUCACUGUGGUUAUAGUUCAGUUAUAGAGGCACUUUACUAUGGACUUACUUUGAUUAUGUUGCCAAUCACUAUAAUAGACCAAGGGUUAAUUGCAAGAGUUUUUGGAGAGAAGAAGGUGGGUGUAGAGGUGACAAGAGAUGAGGAAGAUGGGUCUUUUGCGAGGGAAUCGGUGGCUGAGUCGCUGAGGAUGGUGAUGGUUGAAAAGGAAGGAAAAGUAUACAGAGACAAUGCAAAGGAGAUGAGCAAGUUAUUUGCAGAUAAAGAUCUUCAUGAUCGAUAUAUAGAUCAUUUUGUUGAGUUUCUGCAAAAUCAUUGAGUUGCUUGCAGGCAUUAACCCAACUUUUUUUUUCCUUUUUAAUUUUCUUAUAAAAAAAAAUGUGAUGUAAAUGUAAAUGAACUAGUAGUGUAGGGCAUGUUUUUUUUUAUUUUUUGGGUCUCAUAGUCGUUAAUGGUGGGGCUGAAUCUCUAUGUUUGAGUUGAAUUCAUCGUUCCAGUUGGGUUAAGUGUCGUUGUCAGAAUCCGAUAAGUGCUAGUGCACA
rnacentral:misc_RNA from 1 species